CAGUCAUAGAGUCUUCCACCAGGUGGCAGGACCACCCUCGUUAAGCAGGGUAAGAGGAAUUGUUUCUACUAGUGAGAGAGCUUGGCAGAGUUGGGGGUUAAGUGGCUUCAAAAUUAACUGAGAUCCCCUAAAUGUCACCAUUCUAAUCUUACAGAAUGGUCUUUCCUAAUCACUGCCCUAACUUUCACAUGUGAAAUCGGGUGAGGCUAUGAAUUCAAUCUGUGUUGUGAAUCGGCAACCAAUAAGUAUUCCAUCAUUAAGCCUGAACCAUGAAGCCGAUAGCCUAGGGAAGGAGAGAGAGAAACUGCCCAGAACCAAGAAGUUCACUGC